rnacentral:lncRNA from 1 species
AGCAGGUGCCAACAACCAUCGUGUCAGAAGACAGAGCAGAUGUUGGGUACCUGGAAUGACGGAGGGCUUCUGGGAAGCCUGGAGCAGGCUUGGUUCCCAGAGGAGAAGGACAGAUUCCAGUGGAAGCCGACAGACCCUGAAGAGGCUCCGGCCCCCAAAGGGAGAUGACCUGGCCUGGGGGUAGGAGAAACAGCC